GAAGAUAUAUAUAUAUAUAUAGAGUGGGGCUAGAAUAUUUUUACAAGUAUCACCGAAGUGAUACUUGUGUGUUUUUAACCAUUGGAUCUACUUUUUGAUUACUAAUAGCCUUUAGAUCAAACACUAUUCCACCUACCACCACCUACCACCAUCAUCUCAACCUCACAUCUCUCCAUCCAAGGGCUAAAAACACACAAGUAUCACUUGGGUGAUACUUUUACAAUUAUUCUAGCUCUACUCUAUAUAUAUAUAUAUAUAUAUAUAUAUAUAAAGAGUUUAAUUUGAAAAAAUAUGAAACAAAAUUUUAUGAGAAAAAAGAUUUAUAUGGAAAACUAUUUUUUUUAGU
rnacentral:lncRNA from 1 species